rnacentral:rRNA from 1 species
UACGUAGGGGGCAAGCGUUGUCCGGAAUUAUUGGGCGUAAAGAGCUCGUAGGCGGCCUGUCGCGUCUGCUGUGAAAUCCCGGGGCUCAACCCCGGGCCUGCAGUGGAUACGGGCUGGCUGGAGGCAGGCAGGGGAGAACGGAAUUCCUGGUGUAGCGGUGAAAUGCGCAGAUAUCAGGAGGAACACCGGUGGCGAAGGCGGUUCUCUGGGCCUGUUCUGACGCUGAGGAGCGAAAGCGUGGGGAGCGAACAGG